rnacentral:rRNA from 1 species
GAUGAACGCUGGCGGCGUGCCUAAUACAUGCAAGUCGAGCGAACGGACGAGAAGCUUGCUUCUCUGAUGUUAGCGGCGGACGGGGGGGAAACCCGUGGUAAACCAACUUUAAGAACUGGGAUAACUUGGGGAAACGGAGCCAAAUACGGGAAAAUAUUUUGAACCGCAGGUUCCAAAAGUAAAGAAGGGUUUGGCGGUCACUAAAGGAGGAACCGCGCUGCAUUAGCUAGUUGGUAAGGUAACGGCUUACCAAGGCCACGAUGCAUAGCCGACCUGAGAGGGUGAUCGGCCACACUGGAACUGAGACACGGUCCAGACUCCUACGGGAGGCAGCAGUAGGGAAUCUUCCGCAAUGGGCGAAAGCCUGACGGAGCAACGCCGCGUGAGUGAUGAAGGUCUUCGGAUCGUAAAACUCUGUUAUUAGGGAAGAACAUAUGUGUAAGUAACUGUGCACAUCUUGACGGUACCUAACCAGAAAGCCACGGCUAACUACGUG